GAAAACACUAUCAGCAGCACCAGAAAGGAGGAAGACAGAGUGUGGGAACACAGGACCUGCACUUUCAACACUUUUAUUAGACCUGGGUCCAGUGGACCCGAACACCUUGUAUGUAAUGUAAAUGCGUGGGGGGAGGUACAGUAUGAGGUCAUUGAAAACUAGUUCAGAUUUAUGUUCUUCAGAGAAAAUAAGCCAAAGCCAAUGAAUUUCAGGUUGAAAAAAUAAUUCAUUGUUUAAUUUUUCUUUUGAGAAAAACUGAAAACGGGUCUCACAGACCCGAACACCAUACAAGGGUUAAUAGUUUUUCUUUAUUUUUACUACUUUCUACAUCGUAAAUGCAAACUGACGAUAUCAAAUAUAUGAAGCAAGAUAUAUUUAAUUAUGUAGCAAAGAAAAAAAAGAUAAAUAACUCUAAAUAUGUUUUAUACUUCAGAUUCCUGAGAUUAGCCGCCCUUUGCUAUGUUUUUUUUUCUUUUUGCCUGUCCCGUUUGGCUCUUUUGCCAUCAGAAUUGUUGUCUAAAGGCAAACAAAGAUGCCCAACGGAUUUACUUUACCAAAUUGACCAUCCCAGCCUUGCCGUAAUGGUCCAUUUGAUUCAUCUUUUAUUGUUUAUUUUAUUUUCAUUUACUGAAUACGGGACAGACUUGACUGGGGGAAAGAAGGGGAGAAAGAAAGAGGGAAAGAGAAACAGCUGAGAAGAGGGACGGGGGAGAAGGGCAAAAAACAAAAACCAACAGAAUGAGCAGAGAAAAAAAGAAAAAGAAAAAAAAUGCAUAUAUCGAUCACCUGGAUCACCUGCUGAGAAAGAAAAAAGAAAACAAGCAGAAGAGAACAAGAGUAAUAGAAUAAACAACAUCACAAUGAUAUAUGGGAAUAUGACAGUAAAUACCAGAGGUGGGACCAAGUCAUUGUUUUGCAAGUCUCAAGUAAGUCUCAAGUCUUUAUCCUCAAGUCUCAAGUCAAGUCUCAAGUAAUGUCAGGCAAGUCAGAGUCGAGUCUCAAGUCACUGGUGUAAAAGUCCGAGUCAAGUCACAAGUCUGAAACUUUGAAUUUCAAGUCCUUUCGAGUCUUUAAAAAAAAAACGAAAAAAUAAUGUUGCAGUUAUGCUAAAUGUAAAUAUUAGACCAUGUAAUUUUAAAAUCUGUGUUUUUCUCAACACAUGACAAAAUAGUGAACUUAGAAAAUAUACACAAAUUGUGAAAUUGCACCUCUUUAAAAUGCAGCUCAAUUAAACCUAGCUCCAAGAAUAAUUUUCACCGACAGUUCUGAGAUAAGCUGCAUGUUAUUCUUGGAUGCGGUUGUAGGACCAGCUUUAAAAUCGCAUGACAAAAAUAUCAUACACAUUAAAAAGAACUGCAUCACCAACGUAGCCUGGACAACAUUUGCUAGUUAGAUG
ensembl:lncRNA